AACGCUAGCUACAGGCUUAACACAUGCAAGUCGAGGGGCAGCAUCAUCAAAGCUUGCUUUGAUGGAUGGCGACCGGCGCACGGGUGAGUAACAUGUAUCCAACCUGCCGACAACACUGGGAUAGCCUUUCGAAAGAAAGAUUAAUACCGGAUGGCAUAGUUUUCCCGCGUGGGAUAAUUAUUAAAGAAUUUCGGUUGUCGAUGGGGAUGCGUUCCAUUAGGCAGUUGGCGGGGUAACGGCCCACCAAACCUACGAUGGAUAGGGGUUCUGAGAGGAAGGUCCCCCACAUUGGAACUGAGACACGGUCCAAACUCCUACGGGAGGCAGCAGUGAGGAAUAUUGGUCAAUGGACGAGAGUCUGAACCAGCCAAGUAGCGUGAAGGAUGACUGCCCUAUGGGUUGUAGACUUCUUUUAUACGGGAAUAAAGUUAGCCACGUGUGGCUUUUUGUAUGUACCGUAUGAAUAAGGACCGGCUAACUCCGUGCCAGCAGCCGCGGUAAUACGGAGGAUCCGAGCGUUAUCCGGAUUUAUUGGGUUUAAAGGGAGCGUAGGCGGGUUGUUAAGUCAGUUGUGAAAGUUUGCGGCUCAACCGUAAAAUUGCAGUUGAUACUGGCGACCUUGAGUGCAACAGAGGUAGGCGGAAUUCGUGGUGUAGCGGUGAAAUGCUUAGAUAUCACGAAGAACUCCGAUUG
rnacentral:rRNA from 1 species